GCCGAGGAUGAGCGGUUUGGCCCGGCACUGACCUGUGCUGAGGGCCACCACAUCUGAGG
rnacentral:snoRNA from 1 species